rnacentral:rRNA from 1 species
GACGAACGCUGGCGGCGUGCUUAACACAUGCAAGUCGAACGAAGUGGCGAACGGGUGAGUAACGCGUAAUCAACCUGCCCUUCAGAGGGGGACAACAGUUGGAAACGACUGCUAAUACCGCAUACUGAAGGGGGUGAUUGUGUCUGAUGAGCUAGUUGGAGGGGUAACGGCCCACCAAGGCGAGGAUCAGUAGCCGGUCUGAGAGGAUGAACGGCCACAUUGGGACUGGGACACGGCCCAGACUCCGACGGGAGGCAGCAGGGGGGAAUCUUCCGCAAUGGACGAAAGUCUGACGGAGCGAAUGCGCGGGAGUGAUGACGGCCUUCGGGUUGUAAAGCUCUGUUAAUCGGGACGCGGUACCGGAAUAGAAAGCCACGGCUAACUACGUGCCAGCAGCCGCGGUAAUUC